rnacentral:rRNA from 1 species
CCUUUUGAGAGUUUAUAUAAGGUCUAACCUGCCCAAUGAGGAAUUGAAUGGCUGCGGUAUUUUAACCGUGCUAAGGUAGCAUAAUUAUUUGUCUUUUAAUUAAGGGCUUGUAUGAAAGGUUGGAUGAAGUAAUAACUUUCUUUAAUUUAAUUUUUGAAUUUAAUUUUUUAGUUAAAAAGCUAAAAUUUAUUUAUUGGACGAGAAGACCCUAUAGAUCUUUAUAGUUUAUUGAGUUUUAUAAUUUAGGGAAUUACUUAUUUUUAUUUAAUGGAAUUAUUUGAUUGGGGUGAUUGUAGAAUUUUAAUAACUUCUAUUAUUUAUUAUUUCAAUAAUUAUUGUAUUGUUGAUCCAUAAUUUAUGAUUAAAAGAUUAAG